AACGCACAUUGCGCCCUUUGGUAUUCCGAGGGGCAUGUCUGUUCGAGCGUCAUUUCAACCCUCAAGCUUCUGCUUGGUAUUGGGCAUUUCGUCCGCCUAAGGACGUGCCUGAAACUCAUAGGCGGUUGUACUCAGCUCCCUUGCGUAGUUAUUUUAUUUUUCUCGCUCUGGAGGCUCCUGGGUAUAAAACUCGCCUGAGAACCUUUUUAUUUCUUUAAAGGUUUGACCUCGGAUCAGAUAGGGAUACCCGCUGAACUUAA
rnacentral:misc_RNA from 1 species